GUGGGCUUGGACCGCGGGCCGAGCCCAAAAGAAGCUGGGGCGGGGCGGGUUUGGGCCGACAAAUUGAUGACCCGCGAUGUUGCGGGCUUGGCGGUUUAGGGACUGUGCGGGAUGGGCUUUGAGCGGGCCGGGCCUAUAGAAUCCGCGGGUUAACCUAAAGAGACCGCAGUCUUCUUCUCUCAUUUCCUCAGCAGCUCCGCCACCUGAAAAAACAAAAGAGAGAGAGAGAGAGAGAGACGAACGCGACUCGGCGCCUCAAGAAAGAGAGCUCCGGCCAUGGUUUCCUCCGGUGAAGCUUCUUCUAGUCUUCCAUUCGCCUUUAAUCUCCUCCGGUGAAGCUUCUUGGAGCCGUAACUAGAAGUUUGUGAAGUAUCUGUCAAAGAACUCCGCUUCCACCGUAAACCAAGAUCCAUCUCCGGCGAAGGUUUCUUCUGCGACGGUGACCCCAUGCAUGUCACAGAUACUGAACCAGAAAGCUAUGUAGACCGGUUCCAGAGAUUAGGACAGAGGACAUAUUUUUUUUUUCUUGGCGUUGAAACUGGUGGUGACCGAGUACGCGGAUGGUGUCUAUUAGGUGAAAAGAAUAUAUGAUUGUAAACAAGUAGGCGGAUGGUGGCGACGGUAAAAGCUGCUGUAGGCUCA